UGAAAACCAAGUGAAACAAAU
rnacentral:piRNA from 1 species